ACAUCAACCUCUUGAAACAGUUAUUCUUUUGGGACCCGUAGCAUAUGUGUAGACAUGUGCACACAAAGAUAGAAGAUAUGCAAGUUCAUCAUGGAAGAAAGAAGGCAGACCAGCUCCAUGAACCAAGAUUUUGAAACUGAAGAUUUAAGUAAUUUGCCAGAGUCAGAAUGCUGUAAGCAUCAGAACUCGAUUUUCGAACUUAAGUUUAUCUGACUCAAAAGCUUUUGCCUUUCACCACCACCCUAUUGCUUCUAAAAUGUCAAACAUCGGCUGAACCACAGGACAGGUAUCCUAUAAAUGAGGAGGAUGUGGAUGCACCCCCAUGUGUACGUAAGGACACACGAGCUAAAGGCUUUACCUGACCCAGUAAAAGUGUCAAGCGCUCCAUCUCCAGUCGUGGCUGUGGUUUCACUGCUGUUCAAGGGCUCUGUUUUGACUGCAAGAAGAGACACUACGUAGAAGAAUAAGUACAUGGUAGAACAAAAUGGAAAAGUAGAAAUAAAACAUUUAUUCUGUCACAGAAAAUAAGCUGCAUUCAUACUAAGUGAGCAUCAACAAGCACCUCUUGAUCUCUAAGUAAGUCCCAAAGUUAUUUUGGUUUGAUUUUUCUAAAUAAAAAGCAGUAAUAUUAGGUAAUAAUAAACAACUAUUUUUUCAGCAGUAGAAAGCUCAAAUAGAGAAGUGAAUAGACACUCCUUAUAUUAUUAGCUGAUUUAUUAAGACAUGUUAGAAUACGAAGAAGUAUUAUCUUGAUAUUUAUAUAACAGUUAACUAGUAUAAAGUAAACAUUAUAUAAUAAUUAUAGAUAAAGCUUGGAAAACAACGUUAUUUUCACUGAAGCUAGAAAUAUAUUUGAAAUGUAUUCUUUUUUCUUUUAUCUUGCUUUUGUUUCUGCACUUUAAAUUACACCUACUAUAUACUUUUCUAGUGGCAGGAAACUUUCAUUAAAUAUAUGCAAGACACUAUUGGAAAAAUGUUCAUUAGUAAGACAAAUCUAGUCUUAUUACUACUAACUUGUAAAAAUCCUUAUUCCAAAUAAUUAUCAGUGCCUAUUCCUUGACUGUUCAAAUGUAUGUUAAGCUAUAUUUUG
rnacentral:lncRNA from 1 species